rnacentral:rRNA from 1 species
AUACGUAGGGGGCGCGCGUUGUCCGGAAUGAUUGGGCGUAAAGGGCGCGUAGGCGGCUUUGCAAGUCAGUAGUGGAAGUCCAUUUUUCACGGAUGGAAGUGCUACAGAAACUGCGGAGCUUGAGUGCAGGAGAGGUUAUCGGAAUUCCCGGUGUAGCGGUGAAUUGCGUAGAGAUCGGGAGGAACACCAGUGGCGAAGGCGGGUAACUGGACUGCAACUGACGCUGAGGCGCGAAAGUGUGGGGAGCAAACAGGAUUAGAUACCCUGGUAGUCCACACUGUAAACGAUGAAUGCUAGGUGUAGGAGGUAUCGACCCCUUCUGUGCCGCAGUAAACACAGUAAGCAUUCCGCCUGGGGAGUACGGUCGCAAGAUUAAAACUCAAAUGAAUUGACGGGG